AGCGAACGCUGGCGGCAGGCCUAACACAUGCAAGUCGAGCGGCAGCGCGUCCGACCACCCUCGGGUGGUCGGAUGGCGGCGAGCGGCGGACGGGUGAGGAAUGCAUCGGAAUCUGCCUCGUUGUGGGGGAUAACGUAGGGAAACUUACGCUAAUACCGCAUACGACCUACGGGGUGAAAGUGGGGGACCUUCGGGCCUCACGCGAUGAGAUGAGCCGAUGCCGGAUUAGCUAGUUGGCGGGGUAAAGGCCCACCAAGGCGACGAUCCGUAGCUGGUCUGAGAGGAUGAUCAGCCACACUGGAACUGAGACACGGUCCAGACUCCUACGGGAGGCAGCAGUGGGGAAUAUUGGGACAAUGGGGGCAACCCUGAGUCCAGCCAUGCCGCGUGUGUGAAGAA
rnacentral:rRNA from 1 species